UACCAGCACCCCGAGUGGUCGGGACGAUUAUUGGGCCUAAAGCAUCCGUAGCCGGUCCUGCAAGUCUACCGUUAAAUCCAGCUGCUCAACAGAUGGGCUGCGGGAGAUACUACAGGGCUAGGAGGCGGGAGAGGCAAGCGGUACUUUAUGGGUAGGGGUAAAAUCCGCUGAUCCAUAGAAGACCACCAGUGGCGAAGGCGGCUUGCCAGAACGCGCUCGACGGUGAGGGAUGAAAGCUGGGGGAGCAAACCGG
rnacentral:rRNA from 1 species